rnacentral:rRNA from 1 species
GACGAACGCUGGCGGCGUGCCUAAUACAUGCAGGUAGAACGCUGAAGGAGGAGCUUGCUUCUCUGGAUGAGUUGCGAACGGGUGAGUAACGCGUAGGUAACCUGCCUGGUAGCGGGGGAUAACUAUUGGAAACGAUAGCUAAUACCGCAUAAUAUUGACUAUUGCAUGAUAGACAGUUGAAAGGUGCAACUGCACCACUACCAGAUGGACCUGCGUUGUAUUAGCUAGUUGGUGGGGUAACGGCUCACCAAGGCGACGAUACAUAGCCGACCUGAGAGGGGGAUCGGCCACACUGGGACUGAGACACGGCCCAGACUCCUACGGGAGGCAGCAGUAGGGAAUCUUCGGCAAUGGACGGAAGUCUGACCGAGCAACGCCGCGUGAGUGAAGAAGGUUUUCGGAUCGUAAAGCUCUGUUGUAAGAGAAGAACGAGUGUGAGAGUGGAAAGCUCACACUGUGACGGUAUCUUACCAGAAAGGGACGGCUAACUACGUG